UACGGGGGGGGGCAAGCGUUGUUCGGAAUUACUGGGCGUAAAGCGCGCGUAGGCGGCUUUGUAAGUUAGAGGUGAAAGCCCGGGGCUCAACUCCGGAACUGCCUUUAAGACUGCAUCGCUUGAAUCCGGGAGAGGUGAGUGGAAUUCCGAGUGUAGAGGUGAAAUUCGUAGAUAUUCGGAAGAACACCAGUGGCGAAGGCGGCUCACUGGACCGGUAUUGACGCUGAGGUGCGAAAGCGUGGGGAGCAAACAGG
rnacentral:rRNA from 1 species